UACGUAGGGGGCAAGCGUUGUCCGGAAUUAUUGGGCGUAAAGAGCGUGUAGGCGGCCAGAUAAGUCCGCUGUGAAAUCUCGAGGCUCAACUUCGAGCUGUCGGCGGAAACCAUCUGGCUAGAGUCCGGAAGAGGAGAGUGGAAUUCCCGGUGUAGCGGUGAAAUGCGCAGAUAUCGGGAAGAACACCUAUGGCGAAGGCAGCUCUCUGGGACGGUACUGACGCUGAGACGCGAAAGCGUGGGGAGCGAACAGG
rnacentral:rRNA from 1 species